rnacentral:rRNA from 1 species
GAUGAACGCUGACAGAAUGCUUAACACAUCAGCAAUUGAUUGGUGGCGGACGGGUGAGUAACGCGUAAAGAACUUGCCUCACAGCUAGGGACAACAUGUGGAAACGAAUGCUAAUACCUAAUACUGUGAGAGAGCUUUGCGUCCCAUUAGCUAGUUGGAGAGGUAACGGGUCACCAAGGCGAUGAUGGGUAGCCGGCCUGGAAGGGUGAUCGGCCACAAAGGGACAGAGACACGGCCAUUGCUCCUACGAGAGGCAGCAGUAGGGAAUAGUGGACAAUGGGCCAGAGUCUGAUCCAGCCAUUCUGUGUGCACGAUGAAGUUUUCGGAAUGUAGAGUGCUUUGAGUUGGGAAGCGGUACCAACAGAAGAAGUAACGGCUGAAUACGUGCCAGCAGCCGCGGUAAUUC